rnacentral:misc_RNA from 1 species
AGAAAACAUUGUCAUGUUCUAUAAUUAUAGGCAACCCUCAACGACUGGAACAUAAUUUACUUGUUAUCUUUGGGCCAAUAACACAUAGGUAUUAUCCCACCCCAAACCUUAUAAAAAUGGGAAAAAUGGUAGCCUCUAUAAACGUCUUUUUCUCUUAUGACAAUGGACCUAUCUAAAUGUCUCCUCACACAACUAGGUGACACUAGGUUGAACUAAAAAAUACUCAUUUACAUGGGAAAUAACUAUA